UGAUGGUAUGAUGAGAUUGCAUGAUAGCAUCAUUUAAAGAUUUAUCGGUGUACGAUGGGGAUGCGUUCCAUUAGGUAGUAGGCGGGGUAACGGCCCACCUAGCCGACGAUGGAUAGGGGGUUCUGAGAGGAAGGUCCCCCACAUUGGAACUGAGACACGGUCCAAACUCCUACGGGAGGCAGCAGUGAGGAAUAUUGGUCAAUGGGCGAGAGCCUGAACCAGCCAAGUAGCGUGCAGGAUGACGGCCCUAUGGGUUGUAAACUGCUUUUAUAAGGGAAUAAAGUGGGAGUCGUGACUCUUUUUGCAUGUACCUUAUGAAUAAGGACCGGCUAAUUCCGUG
rnacentral:rRNA from 1 species